GACGUAGGGCGCGAGCGUUGUCCGGAUUUAUUGGGCGUAAAGAGCUCGUAGGCGGUUUGUCGCGUCGACUGUGAAAUCCCGCGGCUCAACUGCGAGUCUGCAGUCGAUACGGGCAGGCUAGAGUUCGGUAGGGGAGACUGGAAUUCCUGGUGUAGCGGUGAAAUGCGCAGAUAUCAGGAGGAACACCGGUGGCGAAGGCGGGUCUCUGGGCCGAUACUGACGCUGAGGAGCGAAAGCGUGGGGGAGCGAACAGG
rnacentral:rRNA from 1 species